rnacentral:rRNA from 1 species
CAGCAGCCACGGGAAUACGAAGGGGGCUAGCGUUGCUCGGAACGACUGGGCGUAAAGGGCGCGUAGGCGGUUUGUACAGUUGGAUGUGAAAUUCCUGGGCUUAACCUGGGGGCUGCAUUCAAUACGUGCAGGCUUGAGUGUGGAAGAGGGUUGUGGAAUUCCCAGUGUAGAGAUGAAAUUCGUAGAUAUUGGGAAGAACACCGGUGGCGAAGGCGGCAACCUGGUCCAUGACUGACGCUGAGGCGCGAAAGCGUGGGGAGCAAACAGGAUUAGAUACCCCAGUAGUCCCUGUCUCUUAUAA